GACGAACGCUGGCGGCGUGCUUAACACAUGCAAGUCGAACGGAAAGGCCCUGCUUUUGUGGGGUGCUCGAGUGGCGAACGGGUGAGUAACACGUGAGUAUCCUGCCCUUGACUUUGGGAUAACUUCAGGAAACUGGGGCUAAUACCGGAUAGGAGCUCCUGCUGCAUGGUGGGGGUUGGAAAGUUUCGGCGGUAGGGGAUGGACUCGCGGCUUAUCAGCUUGUUGGGGGGGUAGUGGCUUACCAAGGCUUUGACGGGUAGCCGGCCUGGGAGCUUGGCCGGCGUCAAGGGGACUAAGAGACGCAGCAGAGGCGAACGGUAGGCAGUAGUGGGGAGUAUGGCACAGUGGGGGCGAGCCUGAUGCGACGGCGCCGCGAGCGGGAUGACGGCCUUCUGGGUGGAAACCGCUGUCGCCUGAGACGAAGCGGGAGUGACGGUAAUGAGUAAAGAAGCACCGGCUAACUACGUG
rnacentral:rRNA from 1 species